CUCAGGGCAAGGUGAAAUUCCUGACCGGCGGUAUACCCCGCGAGCCUCAGGGCUGAACCGGUUUGAUUCCGGUGGCGACAGUAAAGUCUGGAUGAAAGAGAU
rnacentral:ncRNA from 1 species